AUGCAUUGGAUGUAUACUUUGCCUAUGAAGCUUAGUGGAAAUGCUCAAAUUUACCUCAAUUAUAGUUUUUCAGAUACAUUGCUGGUAUUGUUCUGCAAUCAGUUUACACGUCAGGGAAGUCGGUUUUCUGCUGUCCUGCUGCUCAUCUACACUAAUUUUCCUCUAGGGAUGUGGUUAGUGUUUGUUGCUGGAUCCAAAAGUCAUCGCCGCCUGCUGGUGAUCUUGAGUCUUGACUGUCGCAUUGCUGGAACUGUUGUUGUUGUUGCUCGUGGUUGUCUCACAGUCUUGGCUCUUGGUGGCUGGUCCUAG
rnacentral:rRNA from 1 species